CCCCUCUGCCAAUGGGCAAAGAGACCCUUGCUGGUUGUGCUGUUCUUAUGUCAGUCUGAGGCAGAACAAAUGGCAGUCCUUUAUUCAUCCUAACUUGAUGUCUGGCUUGAUGGCCAAAGCUGUUUUAUGCUUCGGACACAUAU